GUACUAUGUAGCUUUCCUGCAAAGUGUAAUAGAAGAUGGAUCAUAUUAUUUCUUUAUCAUAAAUUCGAAGAUAUUUUUUAUUAAUAAUACGUAGAGCUAUCAAAUUUAGCCCAAGCCCAAAUGAUCUGUCCAACCCGUCCAAGGCUGUGUUGAUUAUUGACCCGCUCAUUUAUUGAACUUAGCCCAUUUUGACCCAACCCAUCUUUACCCAUUUAAAGUUGGGCUAAUUUUUAAUCCAAAUUGAUCCAUGAGUAAGUUUGUUAAAAUAUCUUAGAAAUAAUUUUAUUUUUUGUUUAAUAUUUUAAAUAUGACCAUAACAAAAGCAACAAAACCUUAUUUAGUAAUUAUACAAUUUAUAAGAAAAUAACACAUAUUAAUUAAAGUUUAAUAAGAGUUGGGCGGGUUGGGUUAUAACCCGAAUUUUAACACAUCUUGACCCAACUCAUCUUAGCCUAAGUAACUUAAUGACCCACCCAAUUAUUGACUCAACCCAUUUUGACUUGCCUAAAAUUGACCCAACUCGCCCAUUUGAGACUUCUAAUAAUACGUUUAAAAACUUAAUAGCAGGCUAUUUGUCAUUUAUAAAUGACAUGGUCUUGCAAAAAUAUAUAUAGUUUUAAACCAUGAGUACAUAAAACUUCAAUUUUAUGACUUGCAUUUGAGACGAUCUUGUUUGCGCUGGUAAUAAGUUACUACUCCCUUAUUUUCAUUUUAUAGAUCGGUGUUUCCCAGAUUAAGAAGAACGACUUUUGGUAUAUAUGAAUCGUACUCUUAUAAUUCGUAAUCUUGAACAUGCCAUAUC
rnacentral:lncRNA from 1 species